CCCAGAAUUGGUAAUAGCAUAAUGCUGACCUCAGCCUCAUGUUUUAUAUUUCUAUAAAAAUAUAGAAAAAUAUAUAUUAAACAGUUCCAAGGUUAAGGAAAAAAAACACCCCUAUUAACCAUCUUUGGACAUAAAACAAUGUGUUGAACUCGGACUUUGUGAUGCUUACAGCAGACCCACUGAAACCUUUGGAAUUUAAGUUUUGACUUAUUUUUGUCCCAUUGAUUUCAGUGGGUCUACAUUAAGCAUGGCUAAGCCAGGAUCUAACCCUGUGCUGCUGGGACUUAUAGGGUAUGUUCAUAUUAGUGGCUUAAAAUGCAACAGGAUCAUUUCUGCUUCCCUGAAUUUGCAUGGUGUUGCCCCUAUGAAGGGCUGUGUCUGUGUGUGUGUGUGUGUGUGUGUGUGUGUGUGAGAGAGAGAGAGAGAGAGAGAGAGAGAGGUAUCUUCACCUAUACGCAUGACCUUUUUGGUUUCCUUGCUCCCACAAGCCCCACUCCAAUUCAUGAAGUUGUCAGCUGCACGCACAAAUAUUCACAUUACCACUUACUCCGUGCCCAAAUUUCUAGUCUGAUAGACGCUGGUUGGAGGAAAAAAUGCCUCAAACGAGAAACAUGCCACUAUGGAUUAUGGCUAAUGUGAACGUGGCCGCUUACACUGGCUGUGGUGUAAGUGGCUAUGUGAACACUUGCUAGGCAGCAAACUCCACAGAACAAAGGAGAAUUUACUUCCAAAUAAAUAUGUAUAGGAUUCUGCUGUCAACCCUAAAUCAGAGACUCAAAUAUAUUAUUUGAUACGAUUAACAUUUGUUAUCUGUCAUUAGGCCUGAAUGUACAUUUUCAAAUGUUCACAAAAUAUUUUGUUCUACACAAAGGGACUAAAUACUUCACUCCAAAUACUGCCAUGUUCGCAUUCAACAAAGUCAAGCUUUAUUUGAUCUCACCUAAUAAUCCUCCUAUGGGGCCAAGAGGAAGCACUUCCCCCAAACACUUUCGGACUGAUUCUUUGCUGUCAGAAGCUGUUACUGGGGGAAAGAAAAAACCCCAAAACUAUUAGCACAGACUAAAUUCCCUACUGUAAUUGGUUAUGAAGGUGGCAAAGCCUGUCAAAUCAUGAUGAUAUCUGGAUUUCUCUCUCUCUCUCUGUCUCACUUGCAUCAGAUUACAGUUAAAAACUUUAAUGAUUUUGAAGUAACCAUCUGUAUUCAAAAUGUGGAUUGUCGUUCAGUUUCAAACAGGUCUAACUCCAGAGUCAAAGUUCUAUCUACCUCUGUGAUCUCUAUGAAAUUAACCUUUCAGUUAGAUUUUUUGGCAUCUGUCUAACAGCAUAUCCAUUGGCUGACAUCCCAGAUGUUAAGUUUCUCUAAGUGGAUGUUAAAGAACAUUUUACCUAGCUCAAAUUUGGUAGAAGAGUGACAAGAGCAAGGAAUAAAUGUUUCAUAUAAUCACUGCAGAGUUCUUUCCAAGAAGUGGAUUAGCAAAUUUCAGUGUCAUACAAGGAUUUUUUCCAGUGUUUCCUGGUAUAGUCUACUUCAGAUCUUUAAGAUCUAUGCUUAGGGCUCAGACAUGUGUUUACAAAUGUUCAUGCUCAGAACAGAUAUUCCUUCCAUCUUUGCAGUGAUAUAAGGACAGGGUUUUAUAUCAAGAGAUGUUCAGCUUUCAUGUCCCUUUCUAGCCUUAAUAUGGUCUUCCUUAGUAAGAAUCAAUGAUUUUAUUUUAUUGAUCUUGUCUGUUUUGGUUAGGACAGAAUACAAAAACUCAUGGUUUUUUGCAUGUAUAGAAGCCUCUUGGAGAUGUGUUCUCAAGCAACUCACCUUUUGCCCCAAAUAUAGACAUAUCGCU